AGAGUUUGAUCCUGGCUCAGAUUGAACGCUGGCGGCAUGCUUUACACGUGCAAGUCGAACGGCAGCACGGGGGCAACCCUGGUGGCGAGUGGCGAACGGGUGAGUAAUAUAUCGGAACAUAUCCGGAAGUGGGGGAUAACGUAGCGAAAGUUACGCUAAUACCGCAUAUGCCCUGAGGGGGAAAGGGGGGGAUCGCAAGACCUCUCGCUUUCGGAGUGGCCGAUAUCGGAUUAGCUAGUUGGUGAGGUAAAGGCUCACCAAGGCGACGAUCCGUAGCUGGUCUGAGAGGACGACCAGCCACACUGGGACUGAGACACGGCCCAGACUCCUACGGGAGGCAGCAGUGGGGAAUUUUGGACAAUGGGGGCAACCCUGAUCCGGCCAUUCCGCGUGAGUGAAGAAGGCCUUCGGGUUGUAAAGCUCUUUCAGCAGGAACGAAACGGUAUGGGCUAAUACCCUGUGCUAAUGACGGUACCUGCAGAAGAAGCACCGGCUAACUACGUGCCAGCAGCCGCGGUAAUACGUAGGGUGCGAGCGUUAAUCGGAAUUACUGGGCGUAAAGCGUGCGCAGGCGGAUUGUUAAGCAAGAUGUGAAAUCCCCGGGCUUAACCUGGGAAUGGCAUUUUGAACUGGCAGUCUAGAGUGUGUCAGAGGGGGGUGGAAUUCCACGUGUAGCAGUGAAAUGCGUAGAGAUGUGGAGGAACACCGAUGGCGAAGGCAGCCCCCUGGGAUAACACUGACGCUCAUGUACGAAAGCGUGGGUAGCAAACAGGAUUAGAUACCCUGGUAGUCCACGCCCUAAACGAUGUCAACUGGUUGUUGGGGGAGUGAAAUCCCUUAGUAACGAAGCUAACGCGUGAAGUUGACCGCCUGGGGAGUACGGUCGCAAGAUUAAAACUCAAAGGAAUUGACGG
rnacentral:rRNA from 1 species